UUAAGUACCAGACUGGCCACAUCCUUAGGUUUAUGUCCGGCACACACCCUGUGAAUGAGGAACAGCAGAUCCUUGGAGGCAGCAGGGCACUGGAAUGGGCACAGACCUCGGGGCCUGGACUUGACAUCUGUGUCCCCGGUUGCCACCUGCUUGUCCUGAGGACCGCUGCUGCUAGCUUCUCAUUGGUGGAUCUGAAGGUCCUGGAUACUGUUGCCUUGGUGAAAUCAUAACACUGUGCGUGGUGCCGUCAAGUGGAUUCUGACUCCUAGCAACCCUGUGUACAGCAGAGUGGAACUCUGCCCAGUCUUUUUGUGCCAUCCUCUCACCUUCCAGUGUUAUGUCAGACAAUGCUCUGCUGCUAUUCAAAGGGUUUUCAUGGCCAAUUUUUUCAGAGGUGGGUGGCCAAUUCCUUCUUCCUAGUCUGGAAGCUCCACUGAAACCUGUCCACCAUUGGUGACCCUGCUGAUAUUUGAAAUACUGGUGGCAUAGCUUUCAGCACCACAGCAACACGCAGCAGCCACAGUAUGACAACUGCCAAGUGGGUGGCGUGGUUCCCUGAUCAGGAAACAAAGUUGGACUGAGGGGAUGAGAGCGCCAAAUCUUAACUGCUAGACCACCUAUAUCUCUAUCUCUAUCUCUACCUCUCUCUAUCUCUAUCUCUAUCUCUGUCUAUCUCUAUCUCUAUCUCUAU